rnacentral:rRNA from 1 species
UACGGAGGGUGCAAGCGUUGUCCGGAUUCACUGGGUGUAAAGGGAGUGUAGGCGGAUGUGCAAGUCGAAGGUGAAAGCGGGCCGCUUAACGGUCUCAAGUGCCUUCGAAACUGCAUGUCUUGAGUGUGUCAGGGGGUACUGGAAUUCCCGGUGUAGCGGUGGAAUGCGUAGAUAUCGGGAGGAACACCAGUGGCGAAGGCGGGUACCUGGGGCACAACUGACGCUGAGACUCGAAAGUGCGGGGAGCAAACAGG